CCUACGGGAGGCAGCAGUGAGGAAUAUUGGUCAAUGGACGAGAGUCUGAACCAGCCAAGUAGCGUGAAGGAUGACUGCCCUAUGGGUUGUAAACUUCUUUUAUAAAGGAAUAAAACGAGGCACGUGUGCCUUUUUGCAUGUACUUUAUGAAUAAGGAUCGGCUAACUCCGUGCCAGCAGCCGCGGUAAUACGGAGGAUCCGAGCGUUAUCCGGAUUUAUUGGGUUUAAAGGGAGCGUAGAUGGGUUGGUAAGUCAGUUGUGAAAGUUUGGGGCUCAACCGUAAAAUUGCAAUUGAUACUGGCAGUCUUGAGUGCAGUUGAGGUAAGCGGAAUUCGUGGUGUAGCGGUGAAAUGCUUAGAUAUCACGAAGAACCCCGAGUGCGAAGGCAGCUUACUAAACUGUGACUGACAUUGAUGCUCGAAAGUGUGGGUAGCAAACAGGAUUAGAUACCCUAGUAGUC
rnacentral:rRNA from 1 species